rnacentral:lncRNA from 1 species
CCGAGAUGUCUCGAAGAUGCUGAUGCAGAAGUGCCUGAAUGUCGGGAUUGUAUGCCUCGAUUCUAAGUCCUGAAGGGGGUGCAAAACAAACAUGAGUGGACCAAGUUUAUAUAUAGAUGUAUAUAUAAAUUAAAACAAUUAUCAACAUACUAACCUCGAGGUUUUAUGAAAACACAUAUAUAUCAUGAUAAACAUAGGUUUUUCAAAUCCUAGCAUGCCGUGCAAUGUCUUAAAUCAUAACUUGUAUAUAUAAUAAUCAUUAGUGAAUGUUCGAUAACUCUCCAGGCCCCAUGCCGGCUCCUCGUCCCUGUGCUAAUAGCCAGAAGAAAAACACUUCAGGCCCUAUGUCAACACCAUAACCGUCGCCCGGAACGGACCGAAAUCUAUCCAUUCGUCCCGUAGCGGAAUAAGGACCACUAGGUAAGUACAAAACCAUUGAACAUAUAUAUAUAUAUAUUGAAAAAAACAACUUCAUAGUAUAAAGUCAUUCAUCAUCUAUACUAUAAAGAGGUGUUCUAAACAUGUUCUAAAUAUCAUAUCGUCAUCCAUAAGAUAUUCUACAAGAACACGGGUUAUAGGAAAAAUAGUAAUAAUUCAAAAUAACCUCAGUAAGCAUGUUAUCUCAAAGCAUUUCAUAAAACGUAAUUGCUAAAUCAUGCUUUUCCAUGCAUGCAUUUCUACUAUUAAAACAUGCAUUUUAGAAAGGGUCCACUCACAUUACUUCAUUAUCGAAUAGUUCUGUUGCUAGCGAAGACAGAAACGCCACAAUAAAUGCACCUAAGCACAUAAAGGGUACAAUUAAUAAAACUCUAUUAUAACAAUUGAAUUUGGGAAAACAGACGUUGGAAAUAGAUUCAAGACGUCGAAUUACCCUAAGAAGGGUUCCGGUUAAAUUUCGUAAAAGUCCAUAGAAUAUUCCUUAGAAUAUUCCCUAACGGAAUAUUCCACAUAAAGGGUUUGGGCCGGUUAGGGUUUGGGGUUUGAAAGGUUAAAGGGUUUAGUGCUUAAGGCCUUAAGUUAAAAAUGUUUGGAUUAGGCUUUUAAAAAAGGGUUGGGCUUUAAGAGUGUGGGUUUAAUUUCAAACAAAUAAAAUAAAUAAAUAAAUAAAUAAAAGGGUUUCUAAUGGGUUUGGGCUUGAAAUAAAAUAAAUAAAAAUAAAAGGAUAUGGGUUGGGUUUUAAAGAGAUUAACGGGCCUGAGACCUGAGUCCUUUACGGCCCAAAGGCCUAAACUAACAAGGUUUGGGUUUUAGGUUAGGCUUUAAAGGGUAAUGCGUUUGGGUUUCAUUUGCUUGGGUUUAGGGAAUUGGUUUAGGUUGGGCUCGGCGCUGGUUUGGGCUGGGCUACCUUAGGCUGGUUCUUUGGCCCGUUUGUUAUGUGGGUUGCUGGAACCAAUUGAAGGAAAAUGCCGGAAUUUCGGCUAGAAAUUAGACAAACUUUAAACGCUCAUAACUUUGUCAAUACUCAAUGAAAUCGAGUGAUUCAAAAACGAAAAUCAUAGUUCUCGAAGAGACGAAGAGAAUGGUAUCUUGCACGAUGUCUAACUAGUCGUGGUUUGGUCGAAAAACACAUCGAAAGCCAUUGAGGUCGCUGGAAACUGAGUAAGAUUCAAAUAAGUAUAACUUCUUCAAUACUCAAUGAAAUUGGGUGAAACAAAAAGGAAAGUUGUAAUACUCAGCGAGACGAAGAGAUUGAUACCUUGCAUAUCAACCAACUCGUCGUGGUUUGGCCGAAAAGUGGCCUGAAAGCCACGGGUAUUUGCUGGAAUCUGGGUUUAGUUCUCCGAGGUGGUUUUCCUGUGUCAAAACGUCCCCAAGACAAUACCUAUUUUUAUUAAAACCACCAGAACGUUGAAAAGGAAAAAUGAGUGAUGGUAUUUCGAGCCUCACCUGGUCGGGAAUAGUAGAACUCGCCGGCGUGGGUGUGUUAAGCAUGUUUGGGUUGUCUCUGUGCUUCACAUAGGAGGAGGGAGAGAGAAAGGCCCAACGAUGGUGAUGCUGCCAUUGUGUGUUUGUAUGCUUGUGUGUGUGUGCGAUUGACGGUGAGGAGGGAAGAGUGAGGUCGAGAGAGAGGUGCAUAUAAUUUCGGGGAGAGAAAGAGAUAGAGCUUAAGAAAGAGUUAUAAAAAUAAAAUAAAAUAAAAUAAAAAAGAAAAGAAGAGAGGAAUCAGGGGACAAAUCAGGGGGUGGGCCCCCUUGGGCUCACCAAUUAAGACACAAAACCCAUUUUUAAAUAAAAACCCAAAACUACCUUUAAAAUCGGGGGGGUGGGGUGUAACAGGCAGGUUAGGCCUAGCGCCUAAGCGGGACUUAGGCAGACUAGGUGAUAAGCUCAUAUUUAUAUAUAUUUUACAUUAAAUUCACUUGUCUUUUCUUAGUUAGUUCCUUAUAUUUUUGAGCUAUUUACUUUUUUUUUUGUGUUUUGUGGGAUUUGUCAAGCAAAUAAAAGAAAAAUAGCACAAGUAGGAUUUUUAGUAAUAAAUUCGUCAAAACUGCCUGUGCAGAUCAGCUGACUUUGGAAGCAAGUUGCGAAUAGCUCAGAAUGAAUUAGAGAAUGAUCCUUAUGUGCUUGGAAAGCUACAGAUGUCUAUUGUCUGGAGCAUUUUGCGGAUUGUUAAUAUUAUUUUUCUAGAAGAAGUUAUGGCCUUUUUAACACUGAAAGGUUUCCAAGAAGCUGAGUAGUUUGUAACUGCAUUGAAGGCAAUAAAUCCAAUAAAACUAGCAGCCAAAACUGAUGCAGCCAAGAACAAGUCAGCUGACACCUAUUCAAAUAUCAGAGGAAAUGGAAUUAAAAAUGAGAAUUAAGAGGGAGUAAUUGACAUAAAGGCUACCUAAAGUGUUACAAUUGUUUUACCACAUUUCCUCUCACUUAUUGUCAUCACUAAAUGGCUGUUAGUGGGGUGAGUUAUGGAGCAGAAAUGGGGCAGCAAGCAUGGGCAUAAAGGUUGUAGGUUGCAGCAGCAAAAGGAGUUUUUUUAGAGAAAAAAAAAGAUAGAAAAAAAAAGAAGGAAAGGAAGGAGAAAGAGGACAAGGCAG